rnacentral:rRNA from 1 species
UUCAACGUUCAUAUCACGUUGAAUACACCUGCUCUUCUCCGAUCACUGAAGUUAAUCAACGUGGACCGUGAAUAGUACUUCGGUGGGUGAGUUCAUUUCUCAAAUUUACACUCUAUUCAAA